GGUACCUAGUUUCCAGUGCAGGGCAGGCACAGGACACACCUACCACCCACAUUCAGUGACUGACACACUCACGCCAGAGAUCGACCGAACACCAUGGCUAACUGCGCCCCGGCAACCGCCAGCUCCUCCGAGCCUCUUACUAAUGAGACUUUACCACGGACCUGCAACAAUUGUUACUUAAGCUACAAGGAUUUCUCGUGCUAUUAUUCGGGACAUUAUGACCGCUUAAUACAGCUCUGCCAAGACCACGGGCUUUUAAAGAAGCAGGCUUUUUGCCCCCAUUGUGGUAAAGAGUGCAGACUUGACCUGCUGAAGAAGGGGUUCAGAUGCGACAGGUCUUAUGCCCCGUACAGAAAGAAGGCCAAGAAGAGGUGUGACUACUACCUUAACAUAUUUAAGGGCACAUGGUUUUCUAGGACCCGCCUGGAUGUUGAGACUGCCCUCUUCUUCGUAUACCUGUAUGUCAGUGACUUUUUCUCCUACAGGGUUGCGAGGACAGAGCUUGCACUAAGUGAUAUGGCUAUAAAUGAUUGGUCCAGCUUCGCCCGGGAAGUCAUAGUUCAUUGGUGCAUCCGGCACAAGAAACAAAUAGGUGGCCCCGGUACAACUGUCGAGAUUGAUGAGGCGAAAUUUGGGAAGAGAAAGUACAAUGUCGAUCGGGUUAGUGAAGGACAGUGGAUGUUUUGCGGUUUCUGCAGGCAGACGGGACAGUUUUUCGUGGUACCUGUAACCGAUACGACAAGCAAAACAUUGCUUGCAGUUAUCAUGGAAUACAUUGUGCCGGGGACGACUGUUGUCUCCGAUUGCUGGAGAGCUUAUGAUUGCUUGGGGGACGAAGGAUACGUUCAUUUAACUGUCAGUCGCGCCAUCAACUUUGUGGACCCAGUAAUCGAUGCCCAUUCAAAUGCUAUUGCGAGGAGGUGGAGCAAACUUCGGGAGACGACGGCCAGGUGCGGACGUAGACGGUACAACUUCGUCGGGUACUUGUCUGUAGCGUAUUUCAAGUUACAUUUCCAAGACCCGAAAACGAGGUUCCAUGCGUUCAUCAAGGCAGCGGCGGAUUUGUACCCUCCACCUCUUUAAGGAAACCAGGUAACAAGGUUGAGCUAUGAACUUUCUCCUACAGUUUGCCUUGUAAUGUGGGUAGAUGGAGGAUUGCUGAUCCAUCACCUGAUGACAGACGCGAGUAGCACAGCGAUGGGUGUGGUACUCAAAUGCUGUUCUUCUGCAAGUUGUUGUCAGCAAAGCUAAAGAACUCCAUGUUUGUCCAAGAGUUCCCGUUAGUCCACAGAGCCAUACAUCACUUCCGACACAUGCUGGUAGGAUGAUAAUUCUUGGUGCAGACAAACCAUCAACUGUUGGUACACACCACCAUAAAUGGAGAUGGGUGGUCAGCAAGGUAGCAGCGUUGCCUAUCAUCGAUAGCCGAACACUCCUGCACUUCAGAUACUAGAAGCUCUUAACAACAACGUAGCUGACGCCCUUUCCCGAAAUACAGCAACUUUGACGGGGGAACCCUGCCCCUAAGUGGAAAGACCCAUCAAUCAAUGAUGGUGAGAUGACCACUCCUUGCAAGAAGAGUUCCGAAUGGCCUAGCCCAUACCUACUGUUAAGGUUGAGAAAGAAAGCCUUCAACCUUGCCCACAACCUGCUUUGUCAGUCGGGUAGAUUCACUGCCCGAACCCAGUCUGAGCAGUACAUCUGACAGGGAAUGAAGGCAAGACAUCAAAAAGUGGGCAAGAGAAUGCCUAAUGCCAAACAAAAAAACAACAAAGCACACAGAAACGUGGAUAGUUCCAGACAACACAGCGACGACAGCAACACCAGAUGGCCAGAAGCAACAAAAGUACAACAGCAGACAGAUUGCAGAAGUACUAAAAUAGGCUAGGCCAACAGGCAUGGAAUACUGCAAUAUAUAGCUAGCCACAGAGCAGCCAACUUCACCUUCACUUUAUGGAACUCCCUUGCUGCCAGCCUCAGGACAAACAUCUUCACAUAAAAGCAUACAACCCAGAAGAGAUCAGCAUGGUGGACUGGCUGCACCGCUCCCUUAAAUCGGUACUCGCUGCCAGAUCAAGGCAGGAGUUGGAGAAAGGCAUUGUGGGUCUUGCUGGAACUGAGAACAGACCAGCAUGCAGCAUUCAAUGCACUGCUGGCAGAAGCACUCUACGGGCAAGCAUUGACAACACCAGUGGACAUUCAACAGAACCCACAGCUCUUCCAGAUAUCCGUAGAGCAUUGGAAGAGAUCAAGCUGGCGAAGACAACAUACGAAGUAGAGAUUAAAUAUGUCCCUGAAGACCUUGGAAAAGCAGAAUAUGCAUUCACAUGAAUAGAUGCAUACAAGCCCCUGUCUCCAGCCUACUCAGGACCACACCGCAUUCUGCAAAGGAGUGUGUGUAUCAGCCGAUAGUCAAUAGAAGGAUUAUCAGUGUCUCCACUGACAGAUUAUAUAACCAGCCUACAUCCUAAGCAGCAACCCACCCCAGGCCUACUUUUAAGGCAUCCUCGCUUCAAAGCAAAAAUGUAAGUGAUGGACCAAGCACUCCCAAGAAACACAUUUAGCACUCCAGUUUCAAGUGAUCUGUUAUGCAUUUUUCAGAGGCUACUUUGACUAUGUCACUGUUAGGACUGGUAUUACUAACACAUGGUUGGAAAGCUGUCGGUCUUGACGUAUGUAUAUUCAUUUGAAAUAUCUUCCAAAAUGGUGUAUAAAUUGCAACAUUUGUCAGGUGUGAGAAAGCACAUCUGACUGUUCUUGACCUGUCAAGGAUAAUUUGGUGUCAAUAAAUUUGAAUAAGCCUUG